UACGGAGGGUGCAAGCGUUAUCCGGAUUUACUGGGUUUAAAGGGUGCGUAGGUGGGUUGAUAAGUCAGUGGUGAAAUCCCCGGGCUUAACUUGGGAACUGCCAUUGAUACUAUUGAUCUUGAAUACCGUGGAGGUCAGCGGAAUAUGUCAUGUAGCGGUGAAAUGCUUAGAUAUGACAUAGAACACCAAUUGCGAAGGCAGCUGGCUACGCGAAUAUUGACACUGAUGCACGAAAGCGUGGGGAUCAAACAGG
rnacentral:rRNA from 1 species